rnacentral:misc_RNA from 1 species
GUUGAGUUGAGUUUCGCUUAUCACUUUUAGAGUUGUUGAUCUGACAAACCUAGACCCAUCAAAUUUGAACAUCAACAAUUUAAAUAGAAAAUAGGUAAUUUUUAUAUCUCAUCUCUAAAUAUUGCUCUGUGUUUUCACCAUCACUUUCACAAUCACAGCCAUAUGCUUCGUUGAAAGAAGAGAUUUACCUUUCAACGGGAAGUGCUGUAUCUGAGAGAAAAUGGAACCAGGGAUUUUUUAACAUGGAAAUAUUUUUGUGGAAUUAAAUUAAAACAUACGUUCUGAAACCCUGGCAAAGCAUGAUUCAAACAGGGGGUUCAACAUUACAAACCCACAAACUCAGCAAUUCGAGCAUUUAACUUAC